CAGUUGCUUCAAAAUAUUCCAUAGGUGCGACUUACUGGGAUCACAGGAUAAGGGAUGAAGAACAGCAUUUUCACAACUGCUACAGAGCAUCUGCUAUUCAAUGACUUAAUGUCCAUCGUCUUCUCCUGAGAACCGCUGGGAACAAGAUGCAUGCUUAAUGAGGGAGGAGCCCUGUCUGUCAGAGUCACUGCUGUAUCCUCUGAGCAGUCUCUACUUGAACAAGGCAAAGCUCUAGAAACACAGAUGGUCCCGAGGAAGCAGCCGGCUGCUCCCCCAGUGUCCCCAUCUCAGGAAAUGUACCAACAUCCACCAGAAUCCGGGGCCAUCCUUGCCUCCUCCCUCUUCUUCCUCCACAGAGCACAGCAAUCACCGAAGCCUCCAUUACCUCACAGUCAUUACUAAUUUACACCUUUGCAGUCACUUACUAAGUGGUGUCCUGUCUCUUGAACUGCUCUCCUCCAAUCCUCUGAAUCCAUGCUGGAACCAUGAAUGAUCUUUGUAAAGUGCAAAUCGGAUCAUGUCACUCGGAGGAAUUAUCCUUGGAUGAAACUGAACUUCUGGGUCCUGCUUGUAUGGCUCCUACGUCCUGGCCCUUGUCGCUCUCCAAGCUCAAAACCUGCCACCUCCAUGAACUGUGCUCCACCUAACAGGUUGCAUUCUUUAAAUUGACCACAUCUCGCCUCUCCUCUCUUGAAGAGCUGGCCUUCGAGUCUCACUUACCUGUUUCUUCUCAGGGAAGCCUCCUCCACCCUCAAAGAUCUGUCUCUAUAGGCACUGUGAUUAUAUUGACUGCCACAUCCCCAGUGCCUAAGCCAGCUUUGGAGUCACAUAAAUAUUGGUUAAAUCAAUGAGGAAGAGAAGACAGAGUGAUCCUAUGAUGGGAGGUAAUUUGUACAGUGAAUUGGUGUGGAUAAGACAGAUCGAAUUGUGUGUGUGUGGGGUCCCCUCCAUUUCUAAGCCAAGAACCCUUGGAAAACACUAAAUCCUUCCAAUGAGGUGGUCUCACUCUGCCAUCUUACCUCCUUCCUGCACAGAUCAAAGAGCAACAUCUGCUUGUUUUCUGCAGACAGGAGAAUCCACACCCUGCUACCUCAUCACAUCAAAUGUUUGCUAAAACGAUUCAUGGCCCUGGUCAGAAUCUGGGCCUUUUCUUCCAAAUGCGUUGAGUUGUGACCUCUGAAAAUGAUGCUUUUCAAAACCAGGUCCCCAAUACCACAGGCAGAAAGAAAUUAACGGCGUGAGAGGUCCUAAAUGGCAUUUUGACAGAGGUUGUGAAGUGAUUAUGGAUUUCUUAAGAAGCAGGACUGGAGUAAAUCCAAUCACGAAAGCUCAUUUACACUUCAUGCCCUUUGCUACUUCAGUACAUGCUUGAUAGAAAGAUAAUGUUCCCAUAAGAUGUGUAUGACCAAAUUGGCGCCAAAGUUUACAACUCAAAAGAGCUGGCAGAUUCCUUAAUUGAGUUUUGUCUCCAUUGCCAAUACAGAAAA